AUAAUAAUAAUAAAGCAACAAUAAUGAGAAAAUAAUAAUAAUAUAAUUAAUAAUAUGAGCAAGCCCUUUUUUAAUGAGAGAAAUUCAAAUCAAUAUUACCUUAAUGUUUUAUGGCAUAUCCUGAUAGAUAUGAUAAAAUCUGCUCAUUCUCAUUUCUCUUUUUUCUCUAUUUUUUUAAUUUUUAAGGUUUGUUAUGUUUCUAAAUUUUUAAAUUAAUACUUAUCCUUUCUCUUUACAGUUUAUUAAACAUUUUUAUGGAUAUCUUCUCUGACAACUGAUGUAACUGCAUUAAAAAAUUUUGGUCCAUGGAAUUCCAGUUCAGGAGCCACAGUGGUGGAGUAGAAGGGAACUUUGAUACCACCAUGAAAAUCUCCUCCAAAGAGUCUUAAAAUAACACUAUAAAACAAAGGCAGGAGAGAAAGAACAAACAAGGAGACAAUGUGAAGCUACUUUUAAGGAGAUAAAAACCUAAAAGUGGUCAUAUUGUACUUUGUUAUGCCGUAGAAUUAAAAAAAAAUAUGGAAUCUCUGAAUUGGAAAGGAAGGAGCCUCAGAAGGUAAUCUAAUCUAAACUCUACUUGAAGAAGAAAUUCUUCUACUAUAACCCCAAAA